rnacentral:ncRNA from 1 species
UCACGAUAAUAGCAAAGCCUGCGAAAGCCGGCGGCGCAAAGCCAUAGACCCGCUAAAUGCGCGGGGGUCAGGUUGCCGAA